rnacentral:misc_RNA from 1 species
GGCAUAUUGAAUAAAAAUAAUACCAUGAAAUUUUUGCUAUAUAAUUAUAGACAAAAGUAAAAUGGAUAGAGUUGAAAAUAAGAGAGUUUGAUGCUACGUAAAAUGAAAUUCCUUGAAUUAGGCAGAAGAAUUUACUCCCUACAAAAGGAAAGUGAAACCCAUCAACUUCUUGAAAAUUUAGACCUUAGAAAAUAAGUUGAUCAAGGAAAUUCGAGUUCACUUAAAGUAUGAAAAUCUAUAUUAUUUAAUUGGUAUUUUAUCUCAAUUACUUUCGUCCCAAAGUUAUAUUCUUUGGCUGAUGCCUCAGCUGACUUCCAAGAACGUAAAAAGCCCUUCUUAACUUCCUGUGCUGAUUUCCAUACACAUUUUCACCAUCACCACCCCGUUACAAGGGUUUAAAAAAAUAUAGGCAACAUCGGCUACGAAAUUCUUUCAACUGCCUCACUUAUACGUGGAAACCGAUGAGCCCACCGUGAAAAUCCUGAAAUCACAAUCUCAAGAAGAUCCAUUUCUGCUCUGACAGCAUCAGACACGCCCCGCUUAGAGAAAGCCAAACUUCUUGCAAUGAGCUGAGAAAGACGACCGAGUGAACUUAUAUCGAAAUUAGGAUGAUUCAGAAGAGCCUCCUCUGACGUGUAAUCAAAUAGCAGUGCACAAAUACUUGAAGCCAUCAUAAGAACAGAUGGGUCGUUAGCAUCCUCUGCCCAAUAUCCCAAGGCCAUCAGAAGAUUGACAACAGUUGAUUCAUCCAUUGAAAAUUGCACUUGCCCUUUCUUCAAAAGCAAAUUCAACAUUGUAUCACAUGCCAAGAAGAUGCAACUAUCAUCUUCAACUGUAUAGCAACUAGGCCCAAUCACUUUUACAAGGCAUUCAACAACAGCUUUAUAACACCCAGAAGAAAUUAAAGCUUUACAUCCUUCAAUCUUCAUUGUAAUUUGACAAAGCAUUGGAAGUAGAAAGCAUAUAGAGUAAAAAGGGCUUGAUUCAUCAUCUGCUUCAAUUGAUAACAUAUACCCCAAAAGUUCUGUGACUUUAUCUUUGAAAGCAUCUGGUGUUUCUGCAAGAUAACUCCCAACAACCCGUACAGAGGCAAGGAGGUCAUUUCCUUUAUUUUGACCAUGUUCCUUUGCAUCCUUUAGGUACUCUAGCACUACACUGAUUGUCUCAUUAAGCCCAUUGAUCACCUUUAUGAAAGUGUUUUCACCAAUGAGUUCCCCUUCAUUUCCAGUCAUAGCUGAAAUUAGUUUGAUUAUCCUCUCUACCAAGGAAAAGGCGACAGCCACAUUUUGUUGCUUUAAGAGAAUAGCUUCAGCAGUUGUUGAGGUAUUCUUGGAAGCUUCAUACUUCAAAUAGGCCAGCUCAUUGAGCAAAACAUCAACUUCAACUCUUGAUGACUCCAAGACAAGCAAUAGACACCUGUCAGCUGGCACGGGAUCUUGUAAAUCAGGUAAGCUUGACUGACCAAUCACCCAGCUUUCCCCCAAUAUGGACACUAUAGAUUCAGCCAAAAUAAGGGCAUGAAGCUUCUCAGAAGGUGCCACUCGAUUCUGUAAAAUAGCAACAAUGCCAACACGCAUGUAAUCUGGCCAAUUGUUCCCUGCCAUCACACGCAGUGCAUCAUGAAGCAGUUGCGAGUACUUUGAUGAGAAGAUAUAUGAAAGCAAGUGAAGUGCUUCAAAUUUCAAUUCAUUAUGCAGCACAGCAAAUUGCCUUGCUAUUGGCACCACCACCAUUGGCAGCUCAGAAAGGCAGUCAUUCGUAAUGGAGUCCUGAGACAACUUACUUAGCAUAGAUUGUACCAUUUUCAUAGCAAGCUCCAUCAUAUGAGAACCGUCAGGCAAAGUACACAUUUGAGAAGCUAACAAUUUCAUGCCUCCAUAAUCAUACAAUGUCAUGGCUCCAUCCUCACAAGACACUGUUACCAGAUAUAAGAAUUCAUAGCAUUCUUCCAGAACAGGUGAAUUCGAUUUUGACAUUAUUUCCAGUAUGACUGGAAUCUUCAAAACCAUAUCUUCUGAUGAGGCAAUUUCGGGAACUCGACAAAAUGCUGCAAGAACGGUAACGGAUAGCUGCAAAUAUGCAUCGCGGUUAUCGGCUCCAUUGCCACUUACAGUUCCUUUACCCAUCCCAGUCCUCAAAAGCCUACCCAGAAAUUGAAUUCCGACUGCAUCAUAAACUUUACGGAGAGAAGCAACAUCGUCUCCUUUGCAAAAUUUGGUGACGAGAAGUAGGCCAGCAAGGCGUUGCUCGUCUCUCUCGCCUUUCAAUAGCUUCAAGCAAUCGUCAAGUGACGGAGAUUGCCCUUGUUCCUGUCGUGACUCCUGCAAGGAGAGCAGGGAGUGUAAAAGUAAUAUUUGAGUGAAGAAAAAGGAAGAGAACAGAAGAGAGAAAGAGAGAUUAGCAAACCAUGGACGCUGAGUAAUGAAGGCGAACUCGAUGACUGUGCACCUGGGUCCUGAUUCCUAGAUCUAAAAUAAUCCCCACCCUGAUUGUAGCAAGUCCCAAAUUCGAAACUGGGAAGGAAGGCACAAAUCAAACACUAACAGUGCUUGCUUAAGCGGUACUCUCUCUCUCUCUUUAUCUCCCUUGGUGCUUGGUGCUUCUACAGGUAUGAGCAUGCCUUCUUUGUUGCCCAUCUGCAAUUGGCAAACCACAUAAUUUUGGUCUCUUAUGGGCGAUAAAAGAAAUAGAUGGAAUUUUGUUUAGCCGAUAAUACAAUUUGCUGAUUUACUAACCCUUGAAUCUUGAUCACUUCUUUCAUCCAGUGAGUGCUUUCUUAAAUUUUAUUGAUAUUGUACUCAUAUUGAAAGCAACUGUUUGGUUCUGUGAUUUCGGCAGGUAUUCAGCAUAAUAGUUAAGGAAGAGCAAUGCUUUUGUGGGUUGCAUUUGAUCUUACCAUUUGUCUAGAUGGAUGCUGUACUAUGAUGUUUUUGCUUGCAUGUUAGUUGCAGUGACAGAAAGCUGUAGCUUUUGCAAUGUUUUCUCAAGAUAGUGUUACUAGGUAGUACCUUGAAAUUUUUAAGCAUUUGUAACAAUGCUGAGAUGUAUUAUCCUAAUCUUUAUCUCAUUCUUGCUCUAUCCUAAUUUUUUUCUGAUUCAGUAGGUAAACUUUUCGAGGAUCAUGGCUCUACUAAAUAGAAUUAUUCCAACUUUGCUCUUCAGGUCGGUCAAGAAUUCUGGCAAUUCAUGUCUAUAUAGUCCUCGGUUAUUGGUAAAUCGAUUCCUUGCUAAUGAUGCAAAUACAGUUGUAAAUGCCAUAUGUGAUUCAUUAAGGAGAGGCAAUAGUUGGGACGUUCUGAGUAGAAAUUUUGAUUCUGUUGAGCUUAAUGAUUUGCUUGUUAAAAAUGUAUUGCUCGAAUUGAAGGAACCAACUGAUGCGAAAAGGGCACUAGGAUUCUUCCACUGGUCAGCUCAGAGAAAGAACUUUGUCCAUGAGGUUCAGACUUACUGCCUCAUGGUUAAUAUAUUAGUUCGAGCACAAUUGCUUAUGGAUGCUCAAGCAUUGCUUGAAUCAGUUUCGAAGAAAAGUGUGGGAGAUUUUUCAAAAUUUGUAGUUGUGGAUUCCUUACUUAGUAGUUAUAAGAUUACUAUCUCAAGUCCAUUGGUAUUUAACUUGUUGGUUCAGGCUUACGCUAAAUUAAGACUGUUUGAGGUCGGCUUUGAAGUCUGCUGCUACUUGGCGGAUCAUGGGUUCUUUGUGAGCCUAACAAGUUUCAACAUUUUGAUUCAUGUGGUUCAAAAAUCUGAUAAAAGCCCCCUGGUCUGGAAGAUUUAUGAACAUAUGAUUCAGAGAAGAAUUUAUCCAAAUGAAGCAACAAUCAGAAUCAUGACCGAUGCUUUAUGCAAGGAAGGGAAGUUACUUAUAUAUGUGGACAUAUUGGAUAAGAUCCAUGGAAAGAGAUGCUCCCCUUUAGUGAUUGUUAAUACUUGUCUGGUCUUUAGGAUUUUAGAGGAAGGAAAAAUUGAAGUUGCUAUGGCUUUAUUGAAGUUGAUGCUACAAAAGAAUAUGAUUCUUGAUGCCAUUGCUUACUCUUUGAUUGUUUAUGCUAAAGUGAGGCUUGGAAAUUUGGACUCAGCAAUGGAGGUCUAUGAGGAAAUGCUAAAGCGAGGUUUCAUUGCAAAUUCAUUUGUGUAUACUUCAUUUAUAGGUGCUUAUUGUAAUGGAGGAAAACUUGAAGAAGCAAAUCAGUUGAUUGAGGAAAUGGAAAACAUGGGCUUGAAGCCAUAUGAUGAGACUUACAACUUUCUGAUUGAGGGGUGUGCCAAGUCAGGAAGAGUAGAAGAAAGUUUGAGUUACUGUGAGAAGAUGAUAGAGAGAGGACUUCUUCCUAGCCUUUUGGCUUUUAAUAAGAUGGUAACAAAGCUAUGUGAAACUGGGGCAGUGAAGCAAGCAAAUGCUAUGUUAACUCGUUUAUUAGAUAAUGGGUUCUUACCUAAUGACAUCACAUACUCUCAUCUUAUUGCUGGUUAUGCGAGAGACAACCAGAUUCAGGAAGUUCUCAAACUCUACUAUGAAAUGGAGUAUAGAGCACUCUGUCCUGGGUUGCUUGCUUUCACUUCCUUGAUUAGGAUUCUUUGUCAUUGUGGAAAGCUAGAGCAAGCGGAAAAGUACUUGAGAAUUAUGAAAGGUCGUUCCCUAGAUCCAAGUGAGGAGAUUUACGAGGCAUUGAUCACUGGCCACUUUGAGAAGGGUGAUAAGACAAGAGCUCUUCACCUUUACAAUGAGAUGAUUUCUAAAGGAUUGAAGCCUUGUUGCCCAUGUGAUUUCGGUGUUGGCACUGAGUUUUGCUAAUUUUGGCUAGGAUCUUGGAGCGAUAUCAUGUAUUGGUGAACAAAUACAAAAAAGAGAAACAAGUGUAAUUAUGAACUACUUUUUACUUGUCCUAAUUGGAACCAUAUCGUGCAUCAGAACUUUUACUUUUGUCGAGUAUUUGCCAUGAACUCUUCUCCCCUGUGGCCCCACAGUCCACACUUGGGCAUAAUACAAAAAAGGAGGGGCUUGCUUUCUUUAAUCUCUUGAAUUCCUAGGAUAUCUUCUGUUAUUGAACAAAGGGCUCCAGCUCUAAGUUCGAUUGUGCUACUCGACAAACUUUGUGCAGAUGUCUUAUAUUUGAUUCUGAUCCGUGGAUUCUUCAAACUGGCUAAUUUAUAAACAGGCACUCCCCAAAAGGAAAGAAGCUCUUAUGGUAUCCUCUUGGCCUAGAAAUCGCUUCCAUGAAAUGCUUACUCAAGAAAAAAAGUUAGCAAAUUUCCAAGCAUCGGUGAGUUCACAACCUUGCUUUGCUUCUGACAAAUCCACAGCCCACAUACACCCUAUCAUAUUGUAAUAUCAUAGUUAUUAUUUCUUUGUUUCUUUUAUAAUCAAUGAAUUCCUCUUCAUUUGUCAAUCAUACUAGAGCAAUCCAGAAUGAUCACUUACAGUUUAAUUAAUUAAAGCCAUAUGAUAACAAAUUUACGCGGGUAUUUUAACGUCAAACCGCUCCCACGCUCUCCCCACGGUUUCUUUUCAACUUGUACACUGGAACUAUCAUCCUUAUCUACGCAUCUCUUUCUAUCACCACCCAACUUUAUAUAUACACUCUUUCUCAAUUCCCAACUUUCUCAUCUCAUCACUUAAAAUCUUACAGAUACAACGAAAACCUGAAAAUGGAGAUGCCAAUGAUUAAGGAGUGCCCCUCACCAUCCCUCAAAGACAGGCUAAAGUCCUCCAUUAGCUGCUUUGCUGCUCAUAACAUUCCUGAGAGCCUUGGCUCCGACGACGGAAGGAGGUCACAGACUCCGAGACCUUCGUACGCUUGGUUGAAAUCCACGGCUCAUGAUCUCGAGAUCAGAGACAAGUGUAGGGGCCUGAUUGGGAGAAGAGGUAAGAACCGAAGGCGCUAUUAUUCUUCCGAUUUUAAAUACGAUCCUACGAGUUACUCGCUCAAUUUCGAGGAUGAUAUUAACCAAGAAGAUGAAUUGCCGAUCCAUAAUUUUAUGGGGAGACAGCCAGCCACCCCAAAUAGUUGCUAGCGGUAGCAGCGCCUAUUUGUGAGCUCAUUGCUUGGACAUGAUUGAUAAUGAGAUCUGAUUUUGGUGUUAUAUGCAUAUACAUAUAGAUUGAGUUUUCUAAUAUCGUUGUUGUAAUUGUAUGUACAAGAAUCUAAUCACUGAAUAUAAAAAUUAAAAACAAAAAAUUCUAAUCCUGUGUAUAUGUAAAUUACUGUAUGUGAUCCUUUGAUUCUAAAAAGCCUAGCUUGCUGAGACGCUAUGCUUCUCGCUAAGCUCAAAGGUUUCUGAAAGAUCCAAGUUGAAGAGGACUCCUUAUCAGUCAUCCACGGUCCCGGAGGAGCAAUGGUUGUCUGGAUAUCCAAGGCAUUCUGCUUGAUAUCUCUAGCUUAGCUCGUACCAUUGAAGAAGUCUCCUAUUCCUUUGUUCGUCGGGCUGGCAACAAAGCAGCGCAUAGCUUGGCUUCGCAGGCCCUUCAGGACCCAUAUUUUCUCUAUAAAUCCUCUGGGCCCAAUUCAUUUUGUGUUAUCUGAUAUGCCCAUUUAUGGCCCUUUUAAUGAAUUUCUGCAAAUUAA